AUCUGAAUAGCUCAGGCAGUAGAGCAUGAGGCUCUUAAUCUCAUGGGUUCAAGCCCCAUGUUGGGCA